ensembl:lncRNA
UGAGGUUGGAGGAUCUAAUAUUGAAGCUGAUAAUAGAAGCAUUAAUGUAAAAACAGAACUUAUUUUUGUCAAAAAUGAGAUGUACGCUUGUCAUGAUUUAAGUAUGUUGGCCUCUUGUGUUUAUUGCUAUUUUGAGACAUGCCCACUUUCCUUCCAGUCAGAAUACCACAUGUCCCUUCAGGAUGGUGGGAGUACUUAACCCUAGUUCCUGGGAGCCAGAGGACCGUCCGAUGUGCCAACAACAAGCCUGCAGAGAUCGCAAUCCUGGGGAGCAGCCCAAAGCUUUGGUGUAAAUGAACCACUGGAUUUCAGCUCUCAUUUGCUGGGCCUUUGGACAAUUCCUCUCCCUACAGCAAGCUCAGUAGGUAUACAAAACACCCUAUGUAACAACUUUUGCCUACAGUCAAAUAAAGAUUGCAGCCCCA